rnacentral:rRNA from 1 species
CCAGACUCCUACGGGAGGCAGCAGUGGGGACUCUUGCACAAUGGGCGCCCGCCUGAUGCCGCCCCGCCGCGUGCCGGCCGAAGGGUUUCGGCUCGUAACUUCUCUUCACAGGGACGCCCGCAAUGACGGUCCCUGAAUAAGACGCCCCGGCUAACUCCGUGCCAGCAGCCGCGGUCCUACGUAGGGGGCCCGCGUUAGCCGGACUUACUGGGGGUAAAGGGGGAGUAGGCGGCAUGGGAAGCCAGAUGUGAAAGCCUUGGGCUGAACCCGAGGAUUGCAGUUGGAACUAUCAAGCUAGAGGACAGGAGAGGAAAGCGGAAUUCCUAGGGGAGCGGUGAAAGGCGGAGAUAUUAGGAAGAACACCAGUGGCGAAGGCGGCUUUCGGGACGGAAACUGACGCGGAGGCACGAAAGCGGGGGUAUCGAACAGGAUUAGAUACCCGGGUA